CAGGCUUAACACAUGCAAGUCGAGGGGCAUCAGGAAGAAAGCUUGCUUUCUUUGCUGGCGACCGGCGCACGGGUGAGUAACACGUAUCCAACCUGCCCUUUACUCGGGGAUAGCCUUUCGAAAGAAAGAUUAAUACCCGAUAGUAUAAUGAUUCCGCAUGGUUUCAUUAUUAAAGGAUUCCGGUAAAGGAUGGGGAUGCGUUCCAUUAGGUUGUUGGUGAGGUAACGGCCCACCAAGCCUUCGAUGGAUAGGGGUUCUGAGAGGAAGGUCCCCCACAUUGGAACUGAGACACGGUCCAAACUCCUACGGGAGGCAGCAGUGAGGAAUAUUGGUCAAUGGGCGCUAGCCUGAACCAGCCAAGUAGCGUGAAGGAUGAAGGCUCUAUGGGUCGUAAACUUCUUUUAUAUAAGAAUAAAGUGCAGUAUGUAUACUGUUUUGUAUGUAUUAUAUGAAUAAGGAUCGGCUAACUCCGUGCCAGCAGCCGCGGUAAUACGGAGGAUCCGAGCGUUAUCCGGAUUUAUUGGGUUUAAAGGGAGCGUAGGUGGACUGGUAAGUCAGUUGUGAAAGUUUGCGGCUCAACCGUAAAAUUGCAGUUGAUACUGUCAGUCUUGAGUACAGUAGAGGUGGGCGGAAUUCGUGGUGUAGCGGUGAAAUGCUUAGAUAUCACGAAGAACUCCGAUUGCGAAGGCAGCUCACUGGACUGCAACUGACACUGAUGCUCGAAAGUGUGGGUAUCAAACAGGAUUAGAUACCCUGGUAGUCCACACAGUAAACGAUGAAUACUCGCUGUUUGCGAUAUACAGUAAGCGGCCAAGCGAAAGCAUUAAGUAUUCCACCUGGGGAGUACGCCGGCAACGGUGAAACUCAAAGGAAUUGACGGGGGCCCGCACAAGCGGAGGAACAUGUGGUUUAAUUCGAUGAUACGCGAGGAACCUUACCCGGGCUUAAAUUGCAGUGGAAUGAUGUGGAAACAUGUCAGUGAGCAAUCACCGCUGUGAAGGUGCUGCAUGGUUGUCGUCAGCUCGUGCCGUGAGGUGUCGGCUUAAGUGCCAUAACGAGCGCAACCCUUAUCUUUAGUUACUAACAGGUUAUGCUGAGGACUCUAGAGAGACUGCCGUCGUAAGAUGUGAGGAAGGUGGGGAUGACGUCAAAUCAGCACGGCCCUUACGUCCGGGGCUACACACGUGUUACAAUGGGGGGUACAGAAGGCAGCUAGCGGGUGACCGUAUGCUAAUCCCAAAAGCCUCUCUCAGUUCGGAUCGAAGUCCGCAACCCGACUUCGUGAAGCUGGAUUCGCUAGUAAUCGCGCAUCAGCCACGGCGCGGUGAAUACGUUCCCGGGCCUUGUACACACCGCCCGUCAAGCCAUGGGAGCCGGGGGUACCUGAAGUACGUAACCGCAAGGAUCGUCCUAGGGUAAAACUGGUGACUGGGGC
rnacentral:rRNA from 1 species